GUCCAGUUGUGAUCAGUUCUUUCUUCUAGGGCUUAGUGCCUUUUGGGGUCCUACACUAACCCCUCAUUAACCUAAAUGCAGUCCCCUUCCGAGCCUGGGAUACCUGCUCUGUGUGGAAUGCCUCAGGGAGAGUGAAUGUUAGGCAGAAACAACGAGGAGAGAUGUCCGUGGUCAACUGGAGGUGACAGCACUGUAAGUGUGAAUCCACUGCAAGCAGCUCAGAGUGGGAGCUGCAGAGAAGCCAUUGCAGGAGCAAAGUGGAAGAGUGGGUCGUCUCGAAUGACGAUUCAGUCAUUGAUACUAGGGCACAGGCUAUCUUCCUUUUCUCACGUUCUGUUCACCCUAAACCACCUUCUAAAGCCCUUCGUUUCUGAAUAUCUUGAGGUAAGGGGAAUCUACUCUGUUCUGGGUAACAAAAGGAGAAGAAUUUGGAGGUUCUGAGUUUAUUUUGGAGGGAGGAGCUGAAAGGCAAAGAAAGGAAACAGAAUUUUGCAGGUGGGAGGUUAAGCAAGGUGAGGGCAUGGAGAGGGGCAGGAAGAAGCGCCGGAAGGUGUUGAGACAAUGUUGAAUAUGAGAUUUCUAGUUAAUGGCUCUGUGAUGCCAAAGUCUCCAGCAAAAUCCACUGUACUACACAUGUGCUUUUUUAAUUUGAUCUUAUUUGGAGAAGAAAAGAAAAUUACAGACAAAGGGUAUGUCCCACCUGCAGGUGAAUGCUGGGGAGGAAGGUGCAUCAAAGAAUACUGCAAAAUUCCAGGGACUCAGAGAGCCUUGGGAGAUGCAGGAAAAGCACCAGAGAGAAGAGCUAUGGGACCCUGGCAGCAAUGUGGCAAGGCUGGCAUCUCUAAACUCAUCUCACAGACAUGAUAAUGGAGGGACAGAGAGACACAGACUGCCUAUGACACCAGAGUUGAUGAAGACAAAAGUUGUGCUUUCUGACUCCAAGUUGCCCACAUUUGCCUGCAACACGCCGCCCUGCAAGCAUAAGAAAUGGUCGCGGUCCCUCUGUUAA
rnacentral:lncRNA from 12 species